rnacentral:rRNA from 1 species
UAGGGAAUCUUCCACAAUGGACGCAAGUCUGAUGGAGCAACGCCGCGUGAGUGAAGAAGGGUUUCGGCUCGUAAGGCUCUGUUGUUAAAGAAGAACGUGGGUAAGAGUAACUGUUUACCCAGUGACGGUAUUUAACCAGAAAGCCACGGCUAACUACGUGCCAA